AAUGAUCAGUCUUUUCCAAUUUUGCAAUCUGUUUUUGAAGGGAUGCUUUAUCACUUGCAAAAGAUAAAUCAUUUGGUGUAAUUUCUUCAACUGUGGGUUCUGUAUAAGGGUGUGAAAUUUCUUUACCUUUCGAAGAUUAAGUUUUGGAAGAGAAACCUUUGAUUCCAGAACCAGAAGAAGGAAGAACAUAACCAGUUGAGCCACCACGUGUAGAUCCCAUACUUCUGAGUCUUCCCCCUCUGACUCUUGAAUGUUUGAUAGGAGCAGGUGCAUUAGGGAAUUGAUCGAGAAGUAAAACCUUUAUGGGACUAGGGUUUGGAGAUGCCAUUGUAAAAUAACCUUGAAGUAAGUAGAAG
rnacentral:lncRNA from 1 species